CCUACGGGCGGCAGCAGUGGGGAAUAUUGGACAAUGGGCGAAAGCCUGAUCCAGCCAUGCCGCGUGUGUGAAGAAGGCCUUCGGGUUGUAAAGCACUUUCAGUGGGGAAGAAAGCCUUGGGGCUAAUACCCUCGAGGAAGGACAUCACCCACAGAAGAAGCACCGGCUAACUCCGUGCCAGCAGCCGCGGUAAUACGGAGGGUGCGAGCGGUAAUCGGAAUUACUGGGCGUAAAGCGCGCGUAGGCGGUCUGAUAAGCCGGUUGUGAAAGCCCCGGGCUCAACCUGGGAACGGCAUCCGGAACUGUCAGGCUAGAGUGCAGGAGAGGAAGGUAGAAUUCCCGGUGUAGCGGUGAAAUGCGUAGAGAUCGGGAGGAAUACCAGUGGCGAAGGCGGCCUUCUGGACUGACACUGACGCUGAGGUGCGAAAGCGUGGGUAGCAAACAGGAUUAGAUACCCCAGUAGUC
rnacentral:rRNA from 1 species